GACGAACGCUGGCGGCGUGCUUAACACAUGCAAGUCGAACGGAAAGGCCCUGCUUUUGUGGGGUGCUCGAGUGGCGAACGGGCGCGUAACACGUGCGUCACCUGCCCUUGAUUUUGGGAUAACUCCAGGAAACUGGGGCUAAUACCGGAUAGGAUCUCCUGCUGCAUGGUGGGGGUUGGAAAGUUUCGGUGGUUGUGGAUGGACUCGCAGCUUAUCAGCUUGUUGGUGGGCUAGUGGCUUACCAAGUCUUUGACGGGUAGCCGGCCUGAGAGGGUAACCGGCCACAUUGGGACUGAGAUACGGCCCAGACUCCUACGGGAUGCAGCAGUGAGGAAUAUUGCCCAAUGGGCGGAAGCCUGAUGCAGCAACGCCGCGUGCGGAAUGACGGCCUUCGGGUUGUAAACCGCUUUCGCAUGUGACGAAGCGUGAGUGACGGUAAUGGGUAGAGAAGCACCGGCUAACUACGUG
rnacentral:rRNA from 1 species